AAACAAAAAACAAAACACAACGGCAUGGGAGAGCAACCUGGAGAGACUCUGAUAGCUCAGGUCAGCCCAAUACCUGUGGCUGCCACUCACUUUUCCUAUACAA
rnacentral:snoRNA from 1 species